AUGAUGUGUAGAUGAAUAAAGUUAUCUCCACUUUUGAAUAGGAUGGUGUCAGUGGGAGGGUAAGAAGGAAAGAACUUGGAAUCUGAAAAGAAUACUUGGGGUAGCGGGAGAGAAGAACUUGAAGGUCAGAGUCCAGCUGGCGUGAAUGACAAGAUGACAAACAAAAUUGUGGAAGGCCUAAAUAAGGACAACUAUCUUGCUUCAGCUCCUUGCCUCAAGUAGCUAUUAUAUUAACCCACAUUUCUAUAGGCAAAGAAGAUUUUUUAGGUUUCACACUGAUGCAAACAUACAAUGACCAGGAGCAUUUGCAAAAAUCUACAACUUUUAAUGGAGCAGAUGACCACAGGGCAGCAAAGGACAGCUGUGAUCUUCUCCUAUCAAAUCUUGUCACUGCUGUCCAGACGAAAUUGCUACAUAAAAGAGAACCAGUGGAGAACCAGUCGCACCCAUUGCAGCUUUCCAUGGAAAACCUGUAUGAAACUUUUAAAAAAGAGAGAGAAAGUGAAAGUCUCUGGACCUCAGGUCUACCUUCAAGCUUCACCAGAAGUUAUGCUCCAGAUGUUACAUGCCAUGAUUUCCUGUGACCAAUCUCCAUUCUCAAAGAUGCACACAUGCACAGCAUACACUAGCAACCAACAGGUGUCAUAA
rnacentral:lncRNA from 1 species